rnacentral:rRNA from 1 species
GACGAGCGCUGGCGGCGUGCUUAACACAUGCAAGUCGAGCGGUAAGGCCCUUUCGGGGGUACGACGAGCGGCGAACGGGUGAGUAACACGUGGGUGGACCUCGCCCUCCAGCUCUGGGAGUAAGCCUGGGAAACCGGGGUACUAAUAACUGGAUAUGACUCCAUGACGCAUGUUGUGGGGUGGGAAAGACCUUGUGCGGCUGAGGAUGGGCCCGGCCGGCCUACCAGCUUGUUGGUGGGGUGGAUGG